GAGGGUGUUGGUCUGCGUGCCGGUGCUGGGGAAUUGGUCAGCCACAUGGGGACAGAUGCUGAGCCCUUGGUGAUGGAUGCAGGUCUGGGCUGGGAGAAAUGUGGCAGACAGAAAGCCCUCACUCAGCAGGGGGGAAUUGCAGAGCUGCUCCUAUCUUCGGUCAGGCUGUAUUGAUCCAGACUGUUCAAUACCAGAUGUCUGCCCCCAGGGACGUGUCUGUCCCCACAGCUGCUGUCCCAGUAGUCUUCUGGGCCCUGAUUUAAAGAGGACAAGUGUUCUUUUCAGGAAAAAAAAAUGCAGCAGGUUUAUAUCCUUGCUUUUUGCCUCCCUCUCUGACACAGGAUUUCCCAGUAUCUCUAACUAUGCGAAACACGUCCCUUCUUCAGAUAAAAAAAAAAAAGGCAAUUUUCCACUCGGGCAGCAGGAAGCAAAGUGCAGAUUACAACAGCUGAUGGUGUUUUGGAGGAAUGCUAGUAUCCCUCUACCCAUAUGACAAGGUCAUUAUUGGUGUCUGAUGAGGGUGGGCAGUUGGAUGCCCGCAGGCAUCGGGCAUGUUGGCAAGCUUGGGCAUCAGCCACAGGGCACCAGAGGAGCUGGGGACAUUGCACAGAGCAGUGGUUAAGAAAGUCCAGGGUUGGGUAUAGGGGCCAGGGAGGCAGCCGAGCAAAAAGAAAUGCUCCAUGACUCCAUCUCUGCCUUGUUUGGCCUUCUAAGGUAGCUCUAGUACAGCAGUAGAGAGUCCCAAAACAACCAUGCUGAUCACUCAAAGUAUAUUAAGUGUGCCCAAGUUUAUAAAUAUAUGGAUGGUGUUCACUUUUUCACUGUAUGCAGCAGCAUAAGCCCCUCAGGAUACACAAGAGCUAGCUUUAACCUCAUUAGCCCAAUCCCUGACGGUGUUAGCGAAGACUAAUUUACUUCCCUGAGAACCCGUGGCCUGUCUCUGAGUUCAAUAUGGUGCAAGAUGGAAUAUGAGCCGCGAUGAUGCGUCUUCCUUUAUGGUUUGGCUAAACACAUUCCAGCUGAUGAAAGCACAGUCAUGGCUUUAAAUGACUUUUAAACAUCAGCAGCAAACCAGUCUUCAACAAUGGAAAGUCCAGCGUGGGGGCCUGAUAUCGCUGCGGCAUUUCUCAAGCCUUCUGUCUUCCACAAGUCUCUUCUGCUUCCUUCCUGGGCACUGCAGAGCCUUUGACAAUAUUGAUUGAGUAAAUUGCUGGAGCAGAACAAUGUGUGCUCCCUUUCCCAACCAGAAACACCUCUGCUCACUGUUGAUAAAUUACAUGUAAAUUACCUGCCAUUUCCUAGGUGCUAACACUAAAAAGAGGUACAAAAAUCCUCUCCACCACUCUGUGAAUAUCAAUGAGAUUCUUUGUUUUCACGAGCUUUAAACAAUGAUGUUUGAUGAAGGCUCGUUUGAGAGGGAGGCUGUGUUCCAGAGAUACCUUCAAAGUUACACAAAUACAGCGAGGGCAGCCUAACACACUCAUUGUCCCUCUCCUAUUAUUUCUCUUGCUGUAUUUAUGUGAAUUGGGCACCAGUGGUGGUGAGGAGCAGUUUUGUUGGCUCGCAGUACAACGCAAAGCUCUUGUCAGUACUAAUCCCUGUGCUCUACCUGGGCCAGUGCUUUGGCAAAUGCCUUCCUCUGCAUUCAUUUAUUCGCUCUUUCAUCUAUCCAUUCUCCCUCCAUCAGCCUAGCACUGUAGAAUAAAAACAGAGAAGGUGAGGGUAUGUCUAAGAGGUGCUCAGACAUAGUCUCUGAGGGUAUGUCUCUGAGGUGCUCAGCUGUGAUCCAUAGGGAUGUUUUGUAUCCACAGAGGAGAAGUAAUGCCCCUGGCCUGCUGUAUUCAGGGAGCACCCUUCAAGCCCUGAGGUGCAGGAGCAUGACACUGCUCCUUAAGUGAACCACUUGAGACAUUUUGCAAUGCUGUACCUUAAUUUAAAGAACCUAGUGUGUGAUUAAGGUUUAAAUCUUAAACCUACAUUUAUUUAAAAUGGCAUGUACUCUGAUGUUUCUUCUGUGAACUUCUACUGUUGUGGCAAAGCCUUUUCUGCAAGGCGUUUAUUCUGCAGCCCCCAGAUCAAUAUGUUCUGCUCUGAGAGCUCUGCAGAUGCCCGGAGUUGUGCCAGUGCCAGCAUGUGAAUGGAGGAAACAAACAAGAGCACAGCUGCCUUGUACUGAUCAGAGAAAAUUAAGUUAUUCUGUUUGCCCUUUAUCUUCACCUACCUGUAUUAUUAUGGUAAACAAGGAAAGUCUCUCCUGAAGUCAUUCUGUUUGUUGCUGUCCAGAGAGAAAUCAGGCUUAUCUUUUCCUUUUAGUGCUCCAACUGAAUAUAAAAGAGGAAGGAGGAGAAUGUUUUUGUUCUCACCUUGCCUGCAGAGGUGGAAGCAUGGGGCUGAUAGAGUAAGUGAUGUGCCAUGGCUUUAGAGAGGGUCUAAUUCAGAGCCAAGGAUGGCUUCCUAAUCCCCAGUCCUGUUCUUUGACUGCAUGGCCAGCUUUCAGCUGAACUCUGAGUAGAUUUAAAGGCAGCAAAGGCAGCUGGUGGGUGAUCACAGUGGUACCAGCCAUGAAAGAAAGGCAGGUCUGGUACAGGAGGAACAAAACAUAAAGCCAAUAAAUAAUAAAAAAAUCUUUUGCAUGAGAAAGAGAGCUGAGCUGAUCUCACUUAUGGAUGCUGCCAAUUGAAAACCAGAUACAGUCUGAAGCUGUCCGAAUCUGAACGAGACCCUCCAGGAGUGUUGGCAAAGACCCGUUUCAUUAGAAACCUCAUGCCUCAUCUGUCUCAACAAGCUUUUGUGCUGCUCCUUGGCAGGGAUUUCUUUCUUGUCAGCUCACAAAGGACUUAAUGGCAUGGGGAGCAAUCUUCCUCUGUGCUAACUGUGUGCCUUGUGAUCCUGCCAAACGCAAGGCACGGUCGGCAUCCAGGCGUUACUGUGCCAUGAAGACAAACUCACCCUGUUCAGACUGAUGCUCCAUUGUCAUCAGCGGGGGCUCUCCCUGCUGCCUCGGCAUGAAAAACCUUUCAGCAGCCACUGGAGUUGAGCUGCACCAGCCUGCCAGGAGCAGAAGCACAAACGGGGAAGCAGGAAAUGGUUUCUCAGCUGGACGGCCAUGAUUCCGGAGAAACCCGCCUUCUGCUGAGGCAGGAUGGAAACAGCCUUCCCUCCUCCCAGAGAACAGGGAAAGCUUAAAACUUGCUCUUUUUUGCUUUUCUUAUCUAAUAAGAGUUCCUGAGUGUGAUCAGAUUGUUCCUAACUGCUCCCUAAAGCAGCCUGCUAAUGGCAGAGGUCUGUCUCUUUCCCUUGUCCCCCUCCUCUCCCAACUGCACCCACAAGUGAUGGAUUUUGACAUAACAGGAAGGGUUUGCUUUAGGCAAGAGUGUUUUCAGGCCUGAAAGGCUAAAACAGUGUAUUUUUUUCUCCUCAGCAGCACAUAAUGGAGCUAGCUCUUUUCUUGCAGCAUUUAGCCUCAAUUUCCAGGAGAUAAGGCUGCUGGAUGAACACCUAGAGCACUUUGCACCUCCAGCAUGAGACCUGCCUGCCAGAACCUCGCAGCAGGAGCCUGCACCCCUGGAGGGGCUCAUGUCGUCACCCAGAAGCAAUAUCCCACCAGCUGCCCUAGGAGGUACAGCCUGGAAAAGAAGGUGGCACUGAAGGAACAUGCUAAAUUGCAGCCUGCAAUGGAGAUAUUUUCCUCUUGGUUUCGCAAAGAGAAAAUGGGCUCUUCUCACCCCUCUCUGCUCCCCUAAACAGAGCUGCUUUGUUCUCCUUAUUUAAUCAGUGGAUUUUCAGUGAAGUCAAAUCACCCAAUGGAAACAUAUUUCACAAAACACAUUUCCCCACUGACUAGGUUUGGCUUGCUCACCAGGGAUAGGUGUCUAAAAUAAUCAGGAUAAACAAGGAUAUCAAAAGUUAGAUACCACGGAUGAGGUCAUCCCAAGACCUUUGGGCAGAAAUGGGAGCAGCUCUCUCCUGUCCUUGUUAAUGGUCUGUGCUCAAAGGUUACAAGGAUAUUUUUUUUGUUUACCUCUGCUGGCGUCAUAAUUUUGAGUGAUAUUUCUGCACUUCUGAAAACUGUUAAUUAGCUCCCUUCAGAGCUUUGCUCAUCACACAUGGUUUUUCCCAUUUUAGCACACUGAUUAUUAUUUCAGGCUGGAGUAAUGAGCAGGGGGAAGAAGAUGUCAUUUUAAUAUAGGUUAAGUAUUACAAUGUCAAUAGUUUUUUUAUGUAAUUACAGAAUAUAAAGAGGACAAAUGGCUAAUUGCAGAAUGUUAGGAGGACAAAUGAGUUGAAAUAGCUGAAGUUUCUGAUGACCUAUGUGAACCUUGUUUUUUUAAUAGAAAGUUACUUUCCUGAGGAAGCUUUUGGUGCAAAGUUCUCCUGGGACUGUUGGGCCAGUGGGCAGAGCCAACAAAAUCAUGGAUUUGGCCACUUGAUAUCUUUUUGAUCUCCUUGCAGUUAAUGGAGGAAUUAAGCCUUGGUGAGCAAAAAAACAGAGCCUGGGGUGGGUGGUGGAGGAUGCAGAUCUUGCUGACAAUGCUGAAGAGAAAACAAUAGAUGUGAUCAAAGGAAAACUGGAGGAAAGGCUCAGUGCAAACAUGGAUCCCUGUUCUGAAGACUUUAUGCAUCACCAGAAAACCUGCAAGUGACUGACCCAGAUUUCUGACAUCACAAAACUCCAGGGGCAUGGAUAUAGAUCUGUGCUUAGUGAGAUCACGUAAACAAAAGGAGAGGAAGAAAAACACAGGGGAGUUUCUUCCCCAGCAAGUGUUUUUUUUUUUUUUUUUUUUUUUUUUUUUUUUUUUUUCCUCUUAAAGCAAUUGAAGUUUUGCUAGAGAUAAUUGUAUUUUCAGGAAAAUGUUUAAUGAACUGGAUAAACAACAGGAGAAAUGCAAAGCCAAUAAAUGUCCAGCUGUGAUAAAACCCAGGACUUGUAUGAGGUGAUGUCCUCCUGCCCCCAGGAGGCUGGGGGCUUUUGCCUGGAGCUGAUGGGGUGGGUGCUGAGAUGUGGGUCUGGUCCUGUCCCUGCUGGGGUGGAUUAGAUGCUAGGCCACCAGGCACGUGUGUUCAGAGCUGCUUCAUAUCCACUUCUCAGGAAGCCAGGCUAGUUUGGUGCAGCAAUGGGGAGAGGAUAUGGAGAGGAUCCCACAGAAAGAGGAUGGCUCAGUGCAGGCUCCCUUGUGCCUUUGGUUCAGAAAAGCUUCAGAAGUGAUUGAUGGGUGAGUGUCACACUUGAACUCACCUUCUGAGCCCUCUCUGUGCAAGAUGCAGCUGGAGCUGCACAGACUCGGGUAGCAGGCAAUUUUUUAAUAAUGGAGGGGAAAUGACUUUCCUUAAUGGAGCAUGGUAAGAAGUUCUCUUGUGAUUCUCUUCUCCAUCUGCAUGCUUUCAUAAUGGAGCAGCAAAGUCUCUUGCAGCUCGGGGUCAGCUCGUGCUGAACAAAACGCCUUGGGAUGCCCACGAGCUCAGCUGGGAAGCCACGGGGACAGGCGGGAGAGGCAUGACUGAUGUAUGGGCAGAUGCAGUGGGAUUCCAUGGGACUUUGCCUCAGGAUCUUCCAGCCCAAGGGAUGUUUCUUGUCCUUUAGGCAUCAUGGAGGGGUUUUGUUCCCCAGCACGCUCAAAGAUGGGGGAGAAACUAAUUAUUGUCUGAUGUGUGAUGGAUGGACGAGAUUGGUUGGGUCCUUCCCAUGCUGCUCAGCUCAGUUUUAUUUUCCUUUCAGCUCUGCAAGUGCCUGGCCCAGCUGGUGCUUUGUCAUAUGGGGGCACCCUCACAGCAGCAGCCUGUUCCUGGCAGUGCUGAUGCUCCUUCCCCUCAGUUCAAGCUGUUGUCUGACAGAAUUACACAGCACAGCUCCUGACACCGUUAAGUGUCUGCAGAGCGGGGUGGUAACAGCCUGGCUGCUCAGUGCUGCUCAUUCCUGGGGAGAAGACCCGGGCUGCCAGCCCCAGCCUGAUGCAGGCUUCCAAGACAGACCCUAAGCUACAGGAGAUGGGCUCUUCUUGGAGAAAACAGGUGGUUUUGGGGCUGCUCCUGGCUGUGACCUGGAUGAGGCAUCCAGCCCUGUGUAGCUUGAUGCAAUUAAAUUGUCACCUCCUUGCUUGAGUGCAUGGCCACUGAGGGAUGGGCGCAGUCGUAUAUUCUCUAUUCUCCCUGCUAGUCUCUUGCACAAAACAUUAAAUUUCAAGCUCCAGGUUUAAUAACUGAUCCAGAAGCUUCAGAAGCUAAACAGUCAGGCUAUCUGUUGCUGGGGCAGUCCUGGCACUCUGAACUUCGGAUUCAUUACACUCAACAGACAAGCUUAACUUCGAGCCAUCAGUUCAGCUUGGAGAUGAGAAACUGCUCAGAAUCAGUAUUCUGCAUGUAGUGGGUGUUACCUUUCCACAGAUGCAGUAACAAAUACACAGCCUGAUUAAUAGGAUUAGGAGCUGCCUUGUCAAUGACAGCAGGAACAAGCCGCCCGAUAAGCCCUGGGUAGGAGCUGCCUGAAAUCCAAGCCUGGGCUGAGGCUUGCAAAGGAGGGGUUAUUUAAAGAGGUGACAGUGAGGGUAAGGGGCUGUUUAAAGGAAAAAAAAAAAAAAAAAAGAAAGGAAAAAAAAAAAAAG